rnacentral:sRNA from 1 species
UUGAUCUCUCUCUCUCUCUUCUCUUGUAAUAACAAAGCUCACAACAUAAAGAAAUUAUUACAGAACAAGCAAGCAAGAAGAAGAAGAAGAAGCAAUAAAAAUUAG